GACGAACGCUGGCGGCGUGCCUAAUACAUGCAAGUUGAGCGCUGCCGGCUGGUCCUUGUGCCAACUGGAUGAGCAGCCGACGGGUGAGUCACGCGUGGGGAAUCUGCCUUUGAGCGGGGGACAACAUUUGGAAACGAAUGCUAAUACCGCAUAAAAACUUUAAACACAAGUUUUAAGUUUGAAAGAUGCAAUUGCAUCACUCAAAGAUGAUCCCGCGUUGUAUUAGCUAGUUGGUGAGGUAGAAGCGAACCCAGGCGAGGAACCAUAGCAGACCUCAGAGGGGGAGCGGCCACGCUGGGACGGAAACACGGCCCAAACUCCUGCGGGAGGCAGAAGUAGGGAACCUUUGGGAAUGGAAGAAAGUCUGAACGAGCAACGCCGGGCGAGAGAAGAAGGGUGUCGGAUCGUGAAACUCGGGUGGUAGAGAAGAUCGUAGGGGAGAGUGGAAAGCGAAUCAAGUGACAGUAACGACACAGAAAGGGACGGCUAACUACGUG
rnacentral:rRNA from 1 species